rnacentral:rRNA from 1 species
UGGGGAAUUUUGGACAAUGGGGGCAACCCUGAUCCAGCCAUGCCGCGUGAGUGAAGAAGGCCUUCGGGUUGUAAAGCUCUUUCGGUCGGAGAGAAAGCCUGCCCAUGAAUAGUGGGUGGGGUUGACGGUACCGGCAGAAGAAGCACCGGCUAACUACGUGCCAGCAGCCGCGGUAAUACGUAGGGUGCGAGCGUUAAUCGGAAUUACUGGGCGUAAAGCGUGCGCAGGCGGUUUGCUAAGCUUGAUGUGAAAGCCCCGGGCUUAACCUGGGAAUGGCAUUGAGGACUGGCAGGCUAGAGUGUGGCAGAGGGGGGUGGAAUUCCACGUGUAGCAGUGAAAUGCGUAGAGAUGUGGAGGAACACCGAUGGCGAAGGCAGCCCCCUGGGCUAACACUGACGCUCAGGCACGAAAGCGUGGGGAGCAAACAGGAUUAGAUACCCCCGUAGUCC